AUGUCUAUGCAAUUUCAAGAUGAUGCAGAUGGUAUACCUCCUUCUGAGGCUGAAAGUAGGAAUGAAAGGCCCCAAAGGAUAAAGCACCCUUCAGCCAAGAUGCUAGCCCAUCUAAUAGAUGAAAAGGAGCUCCUCCAUGUGAGGUUAGGUUCGGCAUGGGAGCGCAUCACAACAUUAAUGGACAGAAUUGAGAGCUUGGGUAUUACAAGGGUGCCAUCCAUAUUACAGACAGACCUUGAAGAGACCUUCGGUAUUUGGAGGGGUUUGGUGUCUAAGAUAGUCCAGGUCCUCGAGCGCAUUAACGCCAAGGAUUCAGAGUUAGAAAUAGUGAGUGUCUUAGCUGACACUAAUGAGAAAGAAAAUAAGGUGAGGGCAAUUCUAGAUGCCUUGGAAUUUAGUUCUCCAUCUGUUAAUCUAAGGUCUGAGCCAAAAGGAAAUCAGUCUUCCUUAAGCAGCCAUGAGACCAAUCUUUUAAAAUCACCUGCUGUGGCACUUAGUCUUAAGUCCAACCGCUCUAGCCAGGUAUCUAAGCUAAGGGAGUGUGCAUCAUCUAAACAUAGCCACUCUAGCAAGUCUUCUGCUGCUGGGAGUGCCAUCUCUUCCCUAGCUGCCUUGCACAUUAAGGAGGCUGCACGCCUGAAGCUAAAGAGCAAGGUAGCGGGGGCGGAGGCUGAUGCUAAGGCAGCUGAUCUCACCCUUCCCUUUAAAGAAGAAGAGCAACGACUGCAAAUAGAACAGGCCCGUAGACAAAGCGAAAUGCAAAUGGAACAGGCCCAAAGGCAAGGUGAAAUAGAAAUGCUUAGAAUAAGGAUGGAUGCUACUGCCAAAAAGGUAAGGGCUGAGACUUUGGCCAAGGCCCUAAUUGAGCCACUCACAGAAGAAAAUGUAAGUCAGUUGCCGAAGCAGGACCCUUCUUCCAAGGUGCUUGUGCAUCUUAAUAGCUUAAACAGCCAGUUUUCGGAUGAGGAACAGGAAGACUUCUCUCCUUACCCAGAGCAGGGCCCCAAAGUCACUUUUGAGUUUCCUGCAGAGCAGAGCGUCAUAGCGGGGAGCUCACCCUUGCCCGAGCUACCUGUGCCUCCUGCUAAAUCCCUAGGUCAGUCAAUCAGGGCCUCAAGGCCAAGUGCUAGUUGGCCCUUACAGACAGCUGCACAGGGAGCCACCGAUUCGUCAGUGGUCGAUGUCAUCCCUCCAAGAGGCCAAAGGUUGACGCAAGGUGCACGGUGGGAGUCCACUCCACAACAGCAAACUCCUCAAUUGUUCCCUUCGACGCCAGAGUCCCAGCUUGUCUCCAUCAUCAGAAGCCCCAGAAGAGAUCUUAAGGACAAGGGUGUCGAAAAGUUUUCGGACAAGCCUGAGGAAUUUCUUCUCUGGAAGGCCACCUUCCAGAGAGCAAUCAGAGACUUAAAGUUAUUGCCUGAGGAAGAACUGACUCUUCUGGCUGCAUGGUUGGGCCCAGCCUCAUCCUCACAAGUUAAGAAGAUCUACGCAGCCCACGUAGCCGAUCCCAACAAAGCCCUGGAAAAGGCCUGGGCCAGGUUGCAGCAGAGGUAUGGGGCCAGCACAGAGAUUGAAGCAUCUCUUAUGGACAAGCUCCAAAGGUUCCCAGCUUUAAAACUCAAAGACUUCAAACUCUUGUGGGACCUCAGCGAUCUCCUUGCGGAAUUAGAGUCGGCCAAGGAGAAUCCAGAACUGCCCGGUUUGAAGUGCCUCGAUCAGCACCUGUCCCAGAGGCAGAUCUUGACCAAGCUGCCCUUCACUUUGCAAGAACGCUGGGGACAGGAGGUCUUCAACUACAAGGAGGCCCACUCCCAGGCAUACCCUCCAUUUUCUCAUUUGGUCCAGUUCAUCACAAGGGCGGCCAGAGAAAGGAAUGAUCCGCAGACGGGCCUCCCCACCUUAUACCAAGGGACCCAGCCAGAGAAGGCACCUGAAGUGGACAAGAAACCACCUAGAGAGGCCAAUAGACCUGUCAGCGUAAAGGCAGUCGAAACUCAACACAAGGCUGACGAACCCAGGUCGGAGGUAAAAGAGUUGCUCUGCCCCAUUCACCAAAAGCCUCACAGUUUGGCCAACUGCCGGGAAUUUGGCAAGAAGCCUUAUAAAGAAAGACAACAGAUUGUACAGAAGCUGGGCAUAUGUUUUAGGUGCUGUGGAGCAACUCUUCACUUUGCAUCCAACUGCAAAGAGGAUGUCAAAUGCGCAAGGUGUAACAGCCUUAAGCAUUGCACCGCGAUGCACAACUCUGACGCUGUCUCCCACGCCAAAGGGGACACGUCUUCCAAAGAAGGGUCAUCUACUGAAGCCACCAACAUGCAGACCGCGUCACGGAUGCAGGAGGAUGCUCCAUCGGUCGCCUGUACUGAACUAUGCUCUGACGUGCACCAGUUCAGAGUCUGCCAUCCCAUCUGCCUAGCAGAUGUAUAUCCAGCCAGAAGACCUUGGCUUAAAAAGAGACUUUACGUGGCUUUGGAUUCACAAAGCGACGCCUCCCUGGCGACUCCAGAGUUUUUCCAACUGUUUGACAUAAAAACCCAGACGGUCGACUACACCAUGUCCACCUGUGUAGGGAAGAAGAAGUUGCAGGGUCGUAUAGCAUCCGGCUUUGUUGUCUCCUCUUGUGACCAGAAGAGACUGUUCGAGUUACCAGACCUCAUUGAGUGUUCCUCUAUUCCCCGGAACAAAAGGCAGAUUGUCACCAGAGAAGUCGUGGAAGCCCAUCCUCACUUGCGAAAGCUGAAGAACGCCUUACCUGCUUUCCGUCCAGAUGUGGACAUUGCCCUUCUGCUUGGUGCGGACUGUCCGAACUUGUUCUAUGUGAACGACCAAGUUAAGGGACCUCCAGGGGCGCCCAUUGCUCAGCUGCUACCACUAGGCUGGACAGUUACAGGCCCGGUGUGCAUAAAUAGGAUGCACCCUCCAUCGUCGGUGGGCACUCGUCAAGCGCACGUGCUUCAAGGCAGUCGCCCCACACUAAUGCAUAGCUGUUUGAGUCAUAUCUCGGUCUAUUGUCAGGGGAUAACACCAGAGUAUUCUUCCAUCUUUGAAGUCUCCGAAAGGGAUGAAACUACAGCGCUUUCCAAAGAUGAACAGAGGUUUUUAGAGAUCAUGAACUCUCAAGUUUCCCGGAGUCCCGAGGGAAAUUGGAUAGCCCCUCUGCCUUUUAAAGCAGAAAAACCCACUUUGCCAAACAACAGGCAUGUGGCAGAAAAUAGACUCUGGUCACUGAAGAAGAAGAUGCAGAAAGACCCCAAGGUAAAGGAGCAAAUCGUUGGCUUUAUGGAAGACAUGUUCCAAAGUAACUACGCCGAGGUCUCUGAUCAAAGUGAGGUCAAUGAAGAAAACUGGUUCCUGCCUUUCCAUAAAGUCACGCAUCCCCAAAAGCCUAACAAGGUCCGAAUUGUAUUCGAUGCCAGUGCCACAUGCCAAGGCAUUUCUCUUAAUAAUGUUUUGCUAAAGGGACCAGAUCUUUUAAACAGUUUGCUCGGAGUCAUCUUGAGAUUUAGAGAGAAAGAGUUUGCUGUUAUUGCAGACAUCCACAAGAUGUUUUACGCCUUUUUAGUUCGUCCUGAUCAUCGCAGGUACCUCAAGUUUUUGUGGUACGCGGACACUCAAAAUUUGUGUGACGUUCGGGUUUUUCAGAUGCGCGUACAUGUCUUUGGAAAUACCCCGUCUCCAGCCGUUGCAAACUACUGCCUCAAAAGAACCGCAGAUGAGUUUGGGCACCAGUUCAGUCCAGAAGUCGCCAGCAUAGUUAACCACAACUUCUACGUGGAUGAUCUUCUGGUUUCGUUUGACUCCGUUCAUCAAGCCAUCCAAAUAGUGCAUGAGCUGCAGGCUUUGUUAAAAGGUGCCAGGAUGGAAGGACAUCAUGUUGCCAGUUCCGGACGGAACUCACCGUGCCCUGUGGAAACAGGUGCAGUCCUUGGCCAACCACUUUUGGAAAAGGUGGAAAGCUGAGUACUUAAGCCAGCUUCAAGCUAGAAGAAUCUGGCAAAGCCCACAGGACAACAUUGAGGUUAACAACGUUGUGUUGUUAAAGGACAAAGACUUGCCCCGCCAUGCAUGGCCCAUGGGCAUUGUAUUAAAGACCUUUCCUUGCCCGGAUGGUAAGGUCAGGAAAGUUCAAUUAAAGACUUGCAACAGAGACAAAGUGUCCAUUUUGGACAGACCAAUUAGUGACCUCAUGUUGCUUAUUGGAGAUGUUUAAAGUUCUAGUGUUUGUAUUGUCAUAUGUGCAAAGGUGUUUGUAUGUUUUUGAGUGGUAAAUUCCCACAUCCUGGGAAUUUAAGCGGGGAGUGUUCCGUCCCCCAGGACGAUGGUUUGCCUUACUUAUUGGUCGUUUGUUUGUUUUCCCUCCUUUGCAUUUUGUUUCAGCCUCUGGCUGCAAAAGCCCAGGAAAGGUGGCUUGAAGUCUGCAAGAGCUGGCUGCAGUUUUCUUUGCAAUGAUUGGUCAAAGAGUACAUCUUAGGACCGCCCUUUUUACCAGGGUCUAGUCUCCAUUUUAGAGUUUCAUUCUGGCUAUAGUCUUCCAACGUGCUGGAGCUGUGCAAGGCUAACUGGGACAAAUCAUCCUCAAAACCAGGCCAAUCUAAGCCUAUCCAAAUUAGAUAAGUAUUGAAUUAUAUUGAUCUGGAAUAGGAAAUCUAGUUAGAGGAGCAGAGUUAUUCCAUCGCUUCUAGAACUAAUCUUUGCUGUAAAGAUAGGGAAGGAAAGAGUUUCUCCUUCUAAUAUAGGCAGCGUGAUUAGGGUAUAGUGGUUUUAUAAUCACUUUUGCCUUCUGGAACCAGGGAUAAUUCUGUGACUAAAACCUAUAGAAAUUUGUUUCAUUUUCUGCAACUUUAAGAUCUGUGCCAGGUUUACAACCUUGUAUGAAUAAACAUCCUUUUUUGAAGUUAUCCAGACUCAGUCGUCA
rnacentral:lncRNA from 1 species